rnacentral:rRNA from 1 species
GACGAACGCUGGCGGCGUGCUUAACACAUGCAAGUCGAACGGUAAAGCGCUUGCCUUUUUGGUGGGUGUGGAUGAGUGGCGAACGGGUGAGUAACACGUGAGUAACCUGCCCUCUUCUUCUGGAUAACCUCAUGAAAGUGGGGCUAAUACGGGGUAUUCCGGGUCUGUCGCAUGGCGGGUUUGGGAAAGAUUGCGCCUUUGGGUGUUUUCGGUGGGGGAUGGGCUCGCGGCCUAUCAGCUUGUUGGUGGGGUGAUGGCCUACCAAGGCGGUGACGGGUAGCCGGCCUGAGAGGGUGGACGGCCACACUGGGACUGAGACACGGCCCAGACUCCUGCGGGAGGCAGCAGUGGGGAAUAUUGCACAAUGGGCGCAAGCCUGAUGCAGCGACGCCGCGUGAGGGAUGGAGGCCUUCGGGUGGGGAACCUCUUUCGCCAGUGAAGCAGGCCUGCUCCUGUGUGGGUGGGUUGACGGUAGCUGGAUAAGAAGCGCCGGCUAACUACGUG